GAGUUUGCAUUUUAGAAAGAGGACUUGUCUGGGGUGGGUCCACCUCAGAUUCUGACAGGACUUCUGGCUUCUGGGGUGUUGGUGAGCCUUUUACCGAUGCACAAGUUCAUUGUAUCAUUGAUAUGGCUGACGUGACAGGAAAGGAUUAUUGCUGCCGGGGAGGAGGCUGAAGCUGCACUUUUACGAAGAAGAGAGAACAUGUAAACCAGUUAAUUAAACAUUCGGCAGAUUACUGCGAGUCGAUGCUUUUUUAUAUAAUCUCCCCAAAGGAGCUGUCAGUGACUUUAAACUCUAAAUUAAAAUAAUUGGGCAUCCCUUCGAAUAGAUGCUUCAAUUAAUGUGUUAGGCUGCCUUUUAUGCUGAAGUAUCUAAAUUUUCUGAGUUGUGAAUUGUAGGACCCUUUCGCAUUGUCUUUCUUUUAUUCUCAUAAGUGUGUUUUAUAAUUUGAUAACUCUUUUAUUUUAAUUACAGAGACCGAAGAAAUGUUCGAGAGGAGCAGGGUAGGGAAUACCUAGAAAGUCUCAGAAUGGACCAAUUAAACGUGGGAAAUAUUUAAAAAGAAUAUCGAACAAUAUUCAAUGUAGAACCGUCCGGUAUGUUAACAUUGGGAUAUACACAUAGUCAUCAUUUCUGUUUAUUUAUUAUAAAUAAUUUUUAUUUUGCUUUUUUACAGGAUAGGGAAAGACAACGUUUGUUAGAAAUUGAAGAGAGACAGAAAAAAUAGACGUGACCAGCAAGACAGAGAGUACGAAGAAGGGUUAAGAAGGGAUCAAGAGAGGGACCUACAACACCUCGUCGGUGCUGAAGGCGAAGGCAACAUUAGAGUCCGUCUCCGUGGAAGGGACACAACCUUCCAAAGACGUUUCACUGCUUCCGAUACAAACGAGCUCUUGUAUCAAGUGGCCAUUGCCAACCUGCGCGAGAGGAAUAUCACCAUCCGAAAUGCCAGUGGAAGAAUCAUUGAAAGAAAUGACGAUCCUAUUGACGUUGUAGACGCAACGACACUAAUGGUCUUUCAUGACUUGGGUAUAC